rnacentral:rRNA from 1 species
AGUGGAUGGGGAGCAACCUAGUUGUGCGUGUGUAAAGGUAGUGCCAAGAAAAGCGAUGAUCAUGUUGAAAAUCAAUUCCCGGUACCCGAAACCGACACAGGUGGGCAAGUAGAGAAUACUAAGGGGCGCGAGGUAACUCUCUCCAAGGAACUCGGCAAAAUGACCCCGUAACUUAGGGAGAAGGGGUGCCACCGAGAGGUGGUCGCAGUGAAGAGGCCCAGGCGACUGUUUAGCAAAAACAUAGGUCUCUGCAAACUCGAAAGAGGAGGUAUAGGGGCUGACGCCUGCCCAGUGCCGGAAGGUUAAAGAAGUUGGUCAGUUUUAGGAUGAAGCUAGCGACUGAAGCCCCGGUGAACGGCGGCCGUAACUAUAACGGUCCUAAGGUGGCGAAAUUCCUUGUCGGGUAAGUUCCGACCCGCACGAAAGGCGUAACGAUCUGGGCGCUGUCUCGGAGAGAGGCUCGGCGAAAUAGGAUUGUCUGUGAAGAUACGGACUACCUGCAUUUGGACAGAAAGACCCUAUGAAGCUUUACUAUAGCUUGGAAUUGUGUUCGGGCUUCCUGUGCGCAGGAUAGGUGGGAGGCGAAGAAGGUAUUCUUGUGGGGAUACUGGAGCCAACGGUGAGAUACCACUCUCAGGAGGCUAGAAUUCUAACUUAAUUAAGGACAGUUUCAGGUGGGUAGUUUGACUGGGGCGGUCGCCUCCAAAAAGGUAACGGAGGCGUACAAAGGUUCCCUCAGACUGGUUGGAAAUCAGUCGCAGAGUGCAAAGGCAGAAGGGAGCUUGACUGCGAGAAGUACAGUUCGAGCAGGGUGGAAACACGGUCUUAGUGAUCCGACGGUGCUGUGUGGAAGGGCCGUCGCUCAACGGAUAAAAGUUACUCUAGGAUAACAGGCUGAUCUCCCCCAAGAGUUCACAUCGACGGGGAGGUUUGGCACCUCGAUGUCGGCUCAUCGCAACCUGGGGCGGAAGUACGUCCCAAGGGUUGGGCUGUUCGCCCAUUAAAGCGGUACGUGAGCUGGGUUCAGAACGUCGUGAGACAGUUCGGUCCAUAUCCGAUGUAGGCGUGAGAAUAUUGAGAGGAGCCUUCCUUAGUACGAGAGGACCGGGAAGGACGCACCGCUGGUGUACCUGUUAUGAUGCCAAUUGUAAACGCAGGGUAGCCAAGUGCGGAGAGGAUAACCGCUGAAAGCAUCUAAGUGGGAAGCCCACCUCAAGAUGAGUAUUCUGGUGUAAGGUCACGGGAAGACGACCCGUAAAUAGGCACGAGGUGGAAGUGCAGAGAUGUAUGAAGCCGAAGUGUACUAAUAGACCGUCGGCUUGAGC